CGGACGGGUGAGUAACACGUGGAUAACCUACCUAUAAGACUGGGAUAACUUCGGGAAACCGGAGCUAAUACCGGAUAAUAUAUUGAACCGCAUGGUUCAAUAGUGAAAGACGGUUUUGCUGUCACUUAUAGAUGGAUCCGCGCCGCAUUAGCUAGUUGGUAAGGUAACGGCUUACCAAGGCAACGAUGCGUAGCCGACCUGAGAGGGCGAUCGGCCACACUGGAACUGAGACACGGUCCAGACUCCUACGGGAGGCAGCAGC
rnacentral:rRNA from 1 species